rnacentral:rRNA from 1 species
GGUCAAGCGAAUAAGUGCAUAUGGUGGAUGCCUUGGCGAUUACAGGCGAUGAAGGACGUGGUAGCCUGCGUAAAGUCUCGGGGAGCUGGCAAACAAGCUUUGAUCCGGGAAUGUCCGAAUGGGGAAACCCACCCGCAAGGGUAACCCUCUCUGAAUAUAUAGGAGAGCGGUGGCGAACCGAGUGAACUGAAACAUCUAAGUAGCUCGAGGAAAAGAAAUCAACCGAGAUUCCGGAAGUAGUGGCGAGCGAACCCGGAAAAGCCUGUUACUUUUAGCACACGCGAUAAUAGAACGGAAUGGAAAGUCCGGCCAUAGUGGGUGAUAGCCCCGUAUAUGAAAUCCCGUGUGUGGAACUAGGGUAACGACAAGUAGGGCGGGACACGUGAAAUCCUGUCUGAAUAUGGGGGGACCAUCCUCCAAGGCUAAAUACUCGUAAUCGACCGAUAGUGAACCAGUACCGUGAGGGAAAGGCGAAAAGAACCCCGGGAGGGGAGUGAAAUAGAUCCUGAAACCGUAUGCAUACAAACAGUGGGAGCCUCGUAAGGGGUGACUGCGUACCUUUUGUAUAAUGGGUCAGCGACUUACAUUCAGU